rnacentral:tRNA from 1 species
GGUUCUAUGGUGUAGUGGUAGCACGUAGGACUUUGAAUCCUGAGAUCUGAGUUCAAUUCUCAGUAGAACCA